AAAAUUAUAAACCCCUAUACCCUCUCUCCUUCGAGUUCUGAUAAUCAUACGAGUGUAAUAAAUCUAGGGUUUGUUUUCUCCGUUUUCGUCUUCUCUCUGUAUCAACAACCAGAUCAUCUGCUCCACCUUCUCAAGCUCCACAAUGGCGAGAAACGAAGAGAAAGCGCAGUCCAUGCUCAAUCGCUUCAUCACUAUGAAGCAAGACGAGAAGAAGAAGCCUAAAGAACGCCGCCCCUUCUUAGCCUCAGAGUGUCGCGACCUCGCCGAAGCAGAUAAGUGGAGGCAGCAAAUCAUGCGAGAAAUUGGCCGAAAAGUCGCAGAAAUCCAGAACGAAGGCCUCGGAGAACAUCGUCUUCGUGACCUCAAUGACGAAAUCAACAAGCUAAUUCGAGAGAAAUCGCACUGGGAGCGUCGAAUUAUUGAUCUGGGAGGUCCGAAUUAUACGAAGCAAUCGGCUAAGAUGACUGAUUUGGAAGGUAAUAUUGUUGAUGUACCGAACCCUAGCGGUCGAGGUCCUGGAUAUCGGUACUUUGGAGCGGCGAAGAAGCUUCCGGGAGUGAGAGAGUUGUUCGAAAAGCCGCCGGAGUUGAGGAAGAGGCGGACGAGGUAUGAUAUAUACAGGAGGAUUGAUGCGAGUUAUUAUGGUUAUAGGGAUGAGGAAGAUGGAGUUUUGGUGAAGCUGGAAGCACCGGCAGAGGUGGUUAUGAGGGAGAUGGCGGUGGAGGAAUGGAAUUUGAUGGAGGAGAUUAAGAGGGAAGCGAAGAAGGCAGUGAAGAGUGGCGAGGUGGCAAAUGUGACGGAUAUUUUGUUUGAGGAAGAGGAGGAGGUUGUGGAGGAGGAGAGGAGAGAGAAGGAGAGGCUUGAUGAAAAUGAUGCAAUGCAGAAGGAGUUUGUGGUGCACGUGCCAUUGCCGGAUGAGAGGGAGAUCGAAAGGAUGGUUGUGGAGAAGAAGAAGUUGGAAUUGUUGAGUAAGUAUACAAGUGAGAAUUUCUUGGAGGAGCAGACUGAAGCUAAGGCCAUGUUGAAUAUCAAUAGAUAGAGAGCUUUGAAGUGGCUUAGGCAGUCAAAUCUGUUGAAGCCUUCAGUGCUGGUUAUUGGAGCUGGAGGCUUGGGAUCACCUGCUCUGUUGUAUCUUGCAGUAUGUGAAGUCAGUCCAAUAGGUAUUGUUGAUCAUGAUGUAGUGGAGCUUAAUAAUAUGCAUAGAUGCUCGCGUUUUGAUCACUGGAGUAAUCCUCUGCACAUUCUCCUUCUUGGAAGAAGCUUGAGCAUCAGUGUUAAGAGAUUUCGGUUUGAGCUUUUUGGUUGCUGCUGUAGAAGAAUUACUCUGAGCAUCCUUACCAGAGAGAUUAAUAGCAUCUUCUGGCACAUGAGAGCAAGUCACAGAUUCUUGCAAUUGUUCUGGGUUUCUAAGAUUUCAUAGCUCUCAAAUAUGCUUCUGACAGUCUCUCCAAGUUCAGAAAGGUUGUGCCUCUGCACAUAAGAUUUUAGUUCCUCACGCAGUCGCUGCAUAGGAUGAACAAGAGCAUAUAAAUCGGAAAAGCUAAUCAAAUGACCAAUCAUGGUUAGCCUAAUCACAGUAUAUACUGCAUUGAGAUUCUGUGUUUUCAAUAGCGAAUAAGGCAAUUUGUACAAUGGAAAAGAAGCGUAGUCUUUGGCUCAUAGGACAGCAGAAAAUGACUACGCAUAACAGAUGUGAUUUAUGCGAAAGUAGCAAUAAACUGAAUUGAUUAAGGGUUAUAACAGGAAAAAUCUCUUCCCAAGGUGUGAUCAAGGUGGAUCUCAAAAAAGCGUAUAUGACUCCAUUGAGUGGAGCUUUUUAAGAUCUAUGCUUUUUGAAUUCGGUUUCCCGUCUUUGUUUAUAAGCUGGUUUAUGGAAUGUGUUUCUACAAUCUCUCAUUCUAUCUUGAUUAAUGGUACAAGUACUCCAUACUCUCCCUUUCCUGCAAAAAAAGGCCUCAGGCAAGGCCCACUCGCUCCCUUUUUAUUUUCCCUUGGUAUGGAAUACUUCCUCCGUCUUUUAAUACUCGCAACGUUUGUUAGUUUCACGCAUGCCAAUGCACAACUUUGAUCAUUUAUAUCUUAAAUUCUCUUUAUGUAAAAAUUAUAAAAAGUUGAUAUUUUGAAAAUACACAUUGAGACGAAUCUAACAAAAUCACACAUGACUAUGUUUUAUCUUAUAUAAAAAACACUACGAAUAGUCAAAGUAGAUUAUAUGAAUAGUGGCAAAAGUACAAACGUUACGAGUAUUAAAAGACGGAGGAAGUAUAUGUGUAGAUGCAUGAAUAACCCCCAUAUUAAUUUUCAUCCAAAAUGUAAAAAAGUUGAAUAUCACACAUCUUAUGUUUGCAGAUGACUUAUUACUCUUCCAUAGAGCUUAUCCUAUUUUUGUUGAUCUUACGUACUCUGCUUUCUUGAAAUUUUCUUGCUCCUCCGGUUUUUCCAAACCAUGAUAAGAGUAGCAUUUACAUAUAUGGUGUUUCUGAAGAGAUUAAUAACUCCGUUAAGCACGUUCUUCGGUUGGAUGAAGGUACUUUACCUUUUAAGUAUUUAGGGUUCCUCUUGCCUUCAAAUGGUUGACUACUAAGGAUAGACUUGUUGUAUGGAACAUCCGUACAGACUCCAUAUGUUCUUUUAUGUUCUUUUUGUGGUACUGAUAUGAAAUCCAUUGAUCAUAUCUUCUUUCAGUGCUCUUAUUUUGCUGGUAUUUGGGGGCAGUUGUUGCACUCUUAAAUUGAAUAGUCAGUUUACCUUUCGAUCAAGAAGUGUUGGCCCCUGCUAAAGCUUGUAGGGAAAUGGAUGAUCCACGCUUUGAUCUUCACUAAGCUCUUUAUGAGAUUUGGAGACAAAGAAAUCAACUGAUUUUUGAGGGGAAAUGCGAUACUCAGCAAAAUGCCAUUAACUGUGAUUUUUACAGAGUAUGUAAGGUGUACAGAUGUAUUGAAGAAGUUAAAUGUCAUUAAUUAUGUGAUUUAUAGAGUUAAUGUAAGGUGUACAGAUGUAUUGAGCAACUUCUUCUAUGGUGUACAAAUGUAAUGAGCAAUUUCUUCUACUA